ACAGUGAAAGUGUGACUCAGUGUGGCCGACAGCUUUUUCCAAAACAACAACGGAGGUCAGCGGAUGUUACAACUGCCACACUUUUUACUUCUGAUACUGUCUCCACUGGCCGUAAAAUCGACCUUCCACCUUUUAACGAAGAUGGGACUGAAUCUUUCACCUAUCUUCACCUUGCCGAUUUAUCUGCAGUGAUGGCCUCCAUUCUCCAGGUGAUGCUGCGUUUUUGUAUUGGAUGAAUGUCGCCCUUGUAAACCAGGUGAAAGUUUGGAUGUCUACAGUGCUGGCACCACAUGUCUUGUGCUUGAAGCUUUCCCUAACUAUGUCAUCAAAACACUGGAAGGUGAGAAAUUUUGUGGCCGGCUUGCAUCCAGCCUGCAAAUGACCACACCAGGUUUCCCUCACACUCAACCUACAGAACAGACCCCGGACCUAGCAGAACCCCUUCCCGUGAUGGUCGCUACAGUGGAUGCAGUGUCUUUCCUUCCAUCUACUUUAACAGACAACACCCCAGAGACUAUUACUCACCUGAGCAGCAUCAUGGGCAUGAUCCAGACUCACCCACUACAAACAUUGUGCUCCUCUCCCUGCUCAUCGGAGACACCCUGAGUGGGAUGAUAAAGACAGACAUGUCAGGGUUUUCCAAGACAUCCGUACGGGACUGACUGGCAUCUUCAUGCUGAUG